CCUAGAGUUGUAGGCUUUGCCUGCUAUCUCUUACCCAUGUCUUUUGAGUACCUUCGUUUCCUCGGCGGGUCCGCCCGCCGAUUGGACAAUUUAAACCAUUUGCAGUUGCAAUCAGCGUCUGAAAAACUUAAUAGUUA
rnacentral:misc_RNA from 1 species